rnacentral:lncRNA from 1 species
ACCUUGGGCGCCCACCCUGUCCCCUGCUCAGCCUAUAAAAGGCCACCUCCAGCUUUCCUUCUCUUCACACAAACACUUCAGAAAACCACAUAAAUCUCAGUCUCCCGAGAAGGAGCUUUUGUAGUGAAGAGAAGAGAGUAGAGAGAAAGAGGAGAGUGGACGAGAAAGUUGGAGUUCUUUUGAGAGAGUGUUUAUCACCUAGCAAGUAGUGAUCCCGCUGUCUAAGCAGAAGUAAAAGUUGUUUAGGGGGAGGCUCUACCAAAAUAGAAACUUGUCUUGAACGAUUAACCCCU